rnacentral:rRNA from 1 species
CCUACGGGAGGCAGCAGUGAGGAAUAUUGGUCAAUGGCCGAGAGGCUGAACCAGCCAAGUCGCGUGAGGGAAGACGGCCCUACGGGUUGUAAACCUCUUUUGUCGGGGAGCAAAGCGAACCACGUGUGGUUCAUUGAGAGUACCCGAAGAAAAAGCAUCGGCUAACUCCGUGCCAGCAGCCGCGGUAAUACGGAGGAUGCGAGCGGUAUCCGGAUUUAUUGGGUUUAAAGGGUGCGCAGGCGGAGGUGCAAGUCAGCGGUCAAAUUGCGGGGCUCAACCCCGUACUGCCGUUGAAACUGCAUCCCUUGAGUGCGCGAGAAGUAUGCGGAAUGCGUGGUGUAGCGGUGAAAUGCAUAGAUAUCACGCAGAACUCCGAUUGCGAAGGCGGCUUACUGGACUGUAACUGACGUUGAGGCUCGAAAGCGUGGGGAGCAAACAGGAUUAGAUACCCUAGUAGUC